GAUGAACGCUGACAGAAUGCUUAACACAUGCAAGUCUACUUGAUCCUUCGGGUGAUGGUGGCGGACGGGUGAGUAACGCGUAAAGAACUUGCCUUGCAGUCUGGGACAACGUCUGGAAACGGACGCUAAUACCGGAUAUUAUGAUUGAAUCGCAUGAUUUAAUUAUGAAAGCUAUAUGCGCUGCGAGAGAGCUUUGCGUCCCAUUAGUUAGUUGGUGAGGUAACGGCUCACCAAGACGAUGAUGGGUAGCCGGCCUGAGAGGGUGAACGGCCACAAGGGGACUGAGACACGGCCCUUACUCCUACGGGAGGCAGCAGUGGGGAAUAUUGGACAAUGGACCAAAAGUCUGAUCCAGCAAUUCUGUGUGCACGAUGAAGUUUUUCGGAAUGUAAAGUGCUUUCAGUUGGGACGAAGUAAGUGACGGUACCAACAGAAGAAGCGACGGCUAAAUACGUGCCAGCAGCCGCGGUAAUACGUAUGUCGCAAGCGUUAUCCGGAUUUAUUGGGCGUAAAGCGCGUCUAGGCGGUUUGGUAAGUCUGAUGUGAAAAUGCGGGGCUCAACUCCGUAUUGCGUUGGAAACUGCCAAACUAGAGUACUGGAGAGGUGGGCGGAACUACAAGUGUAGAGGUGAAAUUCGUAGAUAUUUGUAGGAAUGCCGAUGGGGAAGCCAGCCCACUGGACAGAUACUGACGCUAAAGCGCGAAAGCGUGGGUAGCAAACAGG
rnacentral:rRNA from 1 species